GGUUGAGAAAGGAAUUGGAGUCAGUUGGCUGCUUUGUGAAGAAGAAAGAGUCAGUGCUCUGAGGAGAAGCCCAUGAGAAACACCUACAGGAAGCUAUGAAACUUCUGUGAUAGGAGCCAACAGAAUGGAACUCCUACAGCCAGUUGCUGGAUGUGGUCACAUCUCUAAUGGGAGUAAAAUGAAAUAGCAGCUGUUCCUCAGUUCUGAGACAAAUGCUACAGUGCAGGAUCAGUAUGGCUUUCAGGACACAGCUGCCAGGAGAGCAGGAGGAAGCGCUGCUUGGACUCGUGGCUCUGGAGAGGGAGGCAGGCUCAAGGCUUUUCCAAGUGACCCCAUAUUGCAGUUCUGGGGCAGGACUGGCAUGGAAGGUGCCAGAGGUGAAGCACAGGUCAUGGCCUGCACCUCCUGGCCAGGGUCAGCCAGGCUGAGGAUGCUCACUCCUCCCCUAAGGCUGGAACACAAUCACUGCCUCUUUGGGCAGGGCAGAUCAGCCCUCUGAGAGCAGCUUGUCUGGAGACCUGCACAAUUAGUGUUUUAAAGGAAGGCGCAGGGAUCUGUGCAGCAGGCAGCCAACAGCUGGAAAUCAGAAUCCUCUUGUCUGCAGCUGGUGAAUAUGCAUUUGAGGCUGAUAGAAUUUCAGAAUAUGCAAGAAGGAGCAACCGAGUGCUUCUGCAUGUGUUCAGCUUCUUUAUUUUUCUCUCCUGAGUUUAGAUACUUUCAUGUAUUAGCUCUGUAGGAAAACUUUUCUUUUUAUAUUGAAAAAUGAUAAUUUGUAGACACUUUUGAUUAAAAAAAAAAACCAAAGCCUUCAUGACAAAAAAUCCACUUCAAUUCACAUGAAAAUGAACUUAUGAAGGAUGGCAAGAAUAAGGGUUUUUAAAGUACUGGAAAUAUAUUGAAGCCUUUUCUUCCCUCUUGAAUUAAUAUACCAUAAUAUUCACAAUGAA